UCGGGAAUAUUGCGCAAUGGAGGGAACUCUGACGCAGUGACGCCGCGUGCAGGAAGAAGGUUUUCGGAUUGUAAACUGCUUUAGACAGGGAAGAAAAAUGACAGUACCUGUAGAAUAAGCUCCGGCUAACUACGUGCCAGCAGCCGCGGUAAUACGUAGGGAGCGAGCGUUAUCCGGAUUUAUUGGGUGUAAAGGGUGCGUAGACGGGAAAUUAAGUUAGUUGUGAAAUCCCUCGGCUUAACUGAGGAGCUGCAACUAAAACUGAUUUUCUUGAGUACUGGAGAGGAAAGUGGAAUUCCUAGUGUAGCGGUGAAAUGCGUAGAUAUUAGGAGGAACACCAGUGGCGAAGGCGACUUUCUGGACAGAAACUGACGUUGAGGCACGAAAGUGUGGGGAGCAAACAGGAUUAGAUACC
rnacentral:rRNA from 1 species